rnacentral:hammerhead_ribozyme from 1 species
AUCCAGUUGACGAGUUCCAUAUAGGAUGAAAUGCGAAUCCUAGAU